GUUUGAUCCUGGCUCAGAUUGAACGCUGGCGGCAUGCUUUACACAUGCAAGUCGGACGGCAGCACAGAGAAGCUUGCUUCUUGGGUGGCGAGUGGCGAACGGGUGAGUAACAUAUCGGAACGUACCGAGCAGUGGGGGAUAACUAAUCGAAAGAUUAGCUAAUACCGCAUAUAUUCUGAGGAGGAAAGCAGGGGACCAUUUGGCCUUGCGCUGUUUGAGCGGCCGAUAUCUGAUUAGCUGGUUGGUGGGGUAAAGGCCUACCAAGGCGACGAUCAGUAGCGGGUCUGAGAGGAUGAUCCGCCACACUGGGACUGAGACACGGCCCAGACUCCUACGGGAGGCAGCAGAAGGG
rnacentral:rRNA from 1 species